rnacentral:rRNA from 1 species
GCCAGCGGCGAUAGUACGUUCAAUACACCAGUUCCAAAUAGAUCACUGAAGUUAAGCAACGUUGCGUUGGGUUGGUAUCGGGAUGGGUGACCAUUUGAGCAAUCGCGUGAAGUCGGCU